CAGGGUACCGCGAUUAACAAGGAGUUCGCCCCAGAGUAUGCGACCAAGCCUGCAAAGCCGCGCUAUGCUUGCUGGGAGCUGGCGGCGUAGGAUGACCUGACGGCCCGCCCCAUUCAAACCGCACCCAGGGCCAUAAAGAAAUACCACUUAGCCAUGGAAAGCAUUGAACACAUGAAGCUGUGUGCAGAAAGCAGACCUUGGAGAAAGGGAGGAUGGAAGUAGUAGUAAUUGAACACUUGCUUCAAAAAGAUUUCUGCAAAAGGCUUGCUCUCAGGGCAAGUGAGAACAUGGGAAAAGCGAGACUUUCUGAAAAAGUUCUUCCAGACACUCCCCCGGCAGCAGCGGUCUUCAGAAAUAUAAUGGUACAGCCAGAUACAGGCUGGCCAGUUAAUUUGAUACUGUCUUACCCCCACUGCUUGGAGGUUAUCCAACUGGACCAACACUGUAAGAUAAAUUGAAAUUGGACGUGUACUGUUGCAUUAAAAUUUGUCUAUAGUUUUAUUCUUCCGGGACGUUUGCGUAUUACCUGUAAGUACAGUAUUUAACCCAUAUGUAGGGUAUGUACAUUGUGCAUCUAUUAUAAUUCAUGACAGUCACUGUAAUUGGUAUAUAAAUAACAGCAAUUUUCAGAGAUGAGUUUCAUAUCCUUGCAUACAGGCUACCGUAAUGCUUUCCUGCAUUAUUCAUACACACUAAAUGCCAAGUAGCAAAAAUCCAUACUGGGAUUAGGAAUUUAUAAACAUUAAAAUGAAAUAUGUCUCUAAUAACA